ACACACGACCGUACCGCAAACCGACACUGGUGCGCGAGAUGAGUAUUCUAAGGCGCUUGAGAGAACUCAGGAGAAGGAACUCGGCAAAUUGACACCGUAACUUCGGAAGAAGGUGUGCCUUUAGUAGGUGAAGUCCCUCGCGGAUGGAGCCCAAUGAGGUUGCAAAAAAUCGGUGCCUGCGACUGUUUAUUAAAAACACAGCACUCUGCAAACACGAAAGUGGACGUAUAGGGUGUGACGCCUGCCCGGUGCUGGAAGAUUAAAUGAUGGGGUGCAAGCUCUUGAUUGAAGUCCCAGUAAACGGCGGCCGUAACAAUAACGGUCCUAAGGUAGCGAAAUUCCUUGUCGGGUAAGUUCCGACCUGCACGAAUGGCGUAACGAUGGCCACACUGUCUCCUCCUGAGACUCAGCGAAGUUGAAAUGUUUGUGAUGAUGCAAUCUCCCCGCGGAAAGACGGAAAGACCCCAUGAACCUUUACUGUAGCUUUGUAUUGGACUUUGAACAGAUCUGUGUAGGAUAGGUGGGAGGCUUUGAAGCAGGGUCGCUAGAUCUUGUGGAGCCAACGUUGAAAUACCACCCUGGUGUGUUUGAGGUUCUAACCUAGGCCCGUAAUCCGGGUUGGGGACAGUGCAUGGUAGGCAGUUUGACUGGGGCGGUCUCCUCCCAAAGUGUAACGGAGGAGUUCGAAGGUACGCUAGUUACGGUCGGACAUCGUGACGAUAGUGCAAUGGCAUAAGCGUGCUUAACUGCGAGACUGACAAGUCGAGCAGAUGCGAAAGCAGGACAUAGUGAUCCGGUGGUUCUGUAUGGAAGGGCCAUCGCUCAACGGAUAAAAGGUACUCUGGGGAUAACAGGCUGAUACCGCCCAAGAGUUCAUAUCGACGGCGGUGUUUGGCACCUCGAUGUCGGCUCAUCUCAUCCUGGGGCUGUAGCCGGUCCCAAGGGUAUGGCUGUUCGCCAUUUAAAGAGGUACGUGAGCUGGGUUUAAAACGUCGUGAGACAGUUUGGUCCCUAUCUUCCGUGGGCGCUGCAGAUUUGAGGAAGCCUGCUCCUAGUACGAGAGGACCGGAGUGGACGCACCUCUGGUGUAUCGGUUGUCACGCCAGUGGCAUUGCCGAGUAGCUAUGUGCGGAAGAGAUAACCGCUGAAAGCAUCUAAGCGGGAAACUCGUUUCAAGAUGAGAUCUGCCGGGGCCUUGAGCCCCCUGAAGAGUCGUUCAAGACCAGGACGUUGAUAGGUCGGGUGUGGAAGCGCAGUAAUGCGUUAAGCUAACCGAUACUAAUUGCUCGUGCGGCUUGACCCU
rnacentral:rRNA from 1 species